CUACGGGGCGCAGCAGUGAGGAAUAUUGCACAAUGGGGGGAACCCUGAUGCAGCAACGCCGCGUGGAGGAUGACGCAUUUCGGUGUGUAAACUCCUUUUAUAUGUCAAGAAAAUGACGGUAGCAUAUGAAUAAGCACCGGCUAACUCCGUGCCAGCAGCCGCGGUAAUACGGAGGGUGCAAGCGUUACUCGGAAUCACUGGGCGUAAAGGACGCGUAGGCGGGUUGGAAAGUCAGGUGUGAAAUCCUACAGCUUAACUGUAGAACUGCACUUGAAACUUCUAAUCCUGAGUAUGGGAGGGGGAGAUGGAAUUAGUGGUGUAGGGGUAAAAUCCGUAGAUAUCACUAGGAAUACCUAAAGCGAAGGCGAUCUCCUGGAACAUUACUGACGCUAAGGCGUGAAAGCGUGGGGAGCAAACAGGAUUAGAUACCCCGGUAGUC
rnacentral:rRNA from 1 species